CCGCUGCCAAAUACAGGAAGACAAGAUCUGCUAUCUUUGAUCUCCUCCGCUGCCAAAUACAGGAAGACAAGAUCUGCUAUCUUCGAUCCCCUCCGCUGCCAAAUACAGGAAGACAAGAUCUGCUAUCUUCGAUCUCCUCCGCUGCCAAAUACAGGAAGACAAGAUCUGCUAUCUUUGAUCUCCUCCACUGCCAAAUACAGGAAGACAAGAUCUGC
rnacentral:lncRNA from 1 species